rnacentral:rRNA from 1 species
AAUGAUACCCUGGUAGUCCACGCCGUAAACGAUGAGUGCUAAGUGUUAGAGGGUUUCCGCCCUUUAGUGCUGCAGCUAACGCAUUAAGCACUCCGCCUGGGGAGUACGGUCGCAAGACUGAAACUCAAAGGAAUUGACGGGGGCCCGCACAAGCGGUGGAGCAUGUGGUUUAAUUCGAAGCAACGCGAAGAACCUUACCAGGUCUUGACAUCCCACUGACCGGUAUAGAGAUAUACCUUUCCCUUCGGGGACAGUGGUGACAGGUGGUGCAUGGUUGUCGUCAGCUCGUGUCGUGAGAUGUUGGGUUAAGUCCCGCAACGAGCGCAACCCUUGAUCUUAGUUGCCAGCAUUUAGUUGGGCACUCUAAGGUGACUGCCGGUGACAAACCGGAGGAAGGUGGGGAUGACGUCAAAUCAUCAUGCCCCUUAUGACCUGGGCUACACACGUGCUACAAUGGAUGGCACAAAGGGCUGCAAGACUGCGAAGUCAAGCCAAUCCCAUAAAACCAUUCUCAGUUCGGAUUGC